rnacentral:ncRNA from 1 species
UAUUUGCUGCCACCGGGUAGCACAAUAAGCAUUUGCGCGCGUGUCGUUAGGUCUUGGAAGAUACGCCUGCAAAUGCUUAUUUUUU